UACGUAGGCAGCGAGCGUUGUUCGGAGUUACUGGGCGUAAAGAGUGCGUAGGCGGUUUUCUAAGUUUGGUGUGAAAUCUCCCGGCUUAACUGGGAGGGUGCGCCGAAGACUGGAAGGCUUGAGUAUGGGAGAGGUAAGCGGAAUUCCUGGUGUAGCGGUGAAAUGCGUAGAUAUCAGGAGGAACACCUGCGGUGUAGACGGCUUUCUGGACCAUAACUGACGCUGAGGCACGAAAGCGUGGGUAGCAAACAGG
rnacentral:rRNA from 1 species